rnacentral:rRNA from 1 species
CUGCUGCCUCCCGUAGGAGUUUGGGCCGUGUCUCAGUCCCAAUGUGGCCGUCCACCCUCUCAGGCCGGCUACUGAUCGUCGCUUUGGUAGGCCGUUACCCUGCCAACUGGCUAAUCAGACGCGGGUCCAUCAUAUACCACCGGAGUUUUUCACACUGAGUCAUGCGACUCCGUGCGCUUAUGCGGUUUUAGCAGCAAUUUCUCGCUGUUAUCCCCCUGUAUAUGGCAGGUUACCCACGCGUUACUCACCCGUCCG